AUGAAGAUUCUCUUAACACGUUGACUGCCACGACACCCGUAUUCGGAUGUCAGCAAAGUUUCUGGUUAGGCCGCGUAACCCAUAUUCGGGUGUCGCUUAUUCGACUACUUGCGAAGGAUCGUCAUAGGUAUUUGAAAAGAUAUUCCAUAAUAAUAAAACUGUUGAAUUGUUAUAAAAUAAAAAUACGAAAAUGGUUUAUUAAAAAAGUUAUUUAGA